AUGAAACACCUGUUCCAGUACGAUCACUGGAGUUAAGCAACGUCGAGCCAGGUCAGUACCUAGAUGGAUAUUCACUUGUGAAUGCCAGAUGCUGUA